UUUCAGAGUGAAGGUGAACAGCCAGUUGUGGUCAAAAGAAGAAGAAAAUGACAUGCAAAGUAUCGCUCCAGAGAUGCAAAGUAAUUAGGAGGAUCUGUUCCAUGAUACUCCUGGGCACAGCUGGGAUUCAGUGUUCUCCAGUUCCACAAGUCUUCCUUUCUACCCGUCUUAAAAAUAUCUCUUGUUCCUUCUGCCAUCAGGAGUGACUAGAGUGUUCUGGAUCUCAUAAACCUUUCUAUUGCAAAAACUUCCUCAAAAUCAAUACUUCAUUGCGGAAGAUGCUUUUGCAGGCGGUCCUAUAUUCUUCUGGAUAUUUUUAAAGUAAUGGGAAAAAAAAGUUAAGACUUCCAUUUAUUUGAACUGGUACAUGAAGGUUUCACACACUGAUAAUGUUUUAAUAGAGUUGUUCUGGUACUUGCCCGAGAUACUAGUGACAUUAUUUGGAAAGCUAAGUUUAUAUUCUGACUAACUUGAAAAUGGGAUAUUGCUGAAAGUUCUCCUAUCUAAUGAAGUAAAAGAGAGAAAUGGGACAAUAAUUCCUGAAAAUUACAAAUGAAAUACAGAAA